rnacentral:rRNA from 1 species
UACGAAGGGGGCUAGCGUUGUUCGGAAUUACUGGGCGUAAAGGGCGCGUAGGCGGCCUUGAUAGUUGGGCGUGAAAGGCCUGGGCUCAACCCAGGAACUGCGUUCAAUACUGCGAGGCUAGAGUGUGGGAGAGGUUGGUGGAAUUCCCAGUGUAGAGGUGAAAUUCGUAGAUAUUGGGAAGAACACCGGUGGCGAAGGCGGCCAACUGGACCACAACUGACGCUGAGGCGCGAAAGCGUGGGGAGCAAACAGGAUUAGAAACCCCCGUAGUCC